rnacentral:rRNA from 1 species
GUCCACACUGUAAACGAUGAUUACUAGGUGUUGGAGGAUUGACCCCUUCAGUGCCGCAGUUAACACAAUAAGUAAUCCACCUGGGGAGUACGACCGCAAGGUUGAAACUCAAAGGAAUUGACGGGGGCCCGCACAAGCAGUGGAGUAUGUGGUUUAAUUCGACGCAACGCGAAGAACCUUACCAAGUCUUGACAUCCUGCGACGGACAUAGAAAUAUGUUUUUCCUUCGGGACGCAGAGACAGGUGGUGCAUGGUUGUCGU